rnacentral:lncRNA from 1 species
GGGGAGGGGGAGUCAAUGAAAUAUGUGGAUUGAGUGUUUUUCAUUUUUCAUUGAACUUUUGAUGUCGUCCCUUGAUCCAGAGGACAAAUUUGAAUUAAAUAUUUCGAUGUGAAAACUGUUAAGAUUUUAAAGUUUAAAAUUUUACUAUCAAUUGCAGAAAAUUAUAAAACCAAUGAAUUUCACAUGCACAUUUAUAAAAGCUAGAAUUGUGAUUGCAUAAUCAAGAACACAAUCAUGUACGCAAAUAUGACGAUGGAAGCUUUAAACGACCUUGACC